rnacentral:rRNA from 1 species
AUUGAACGCUGGCGGCAGGCCUAACACAUGCAAGUCGAGCGGAUGAAGGGAGCUUGCUCCUGGAUUCAGCGGCGGACGGGUGAGUAAUGCCUAGGAAUCUGCCUGGUAGUGGGGGAUAACGUCCGGAAACGGGCGCUAAUACCGCAUACGUCCUGAGGGAGAAAGUGGGGGAUCUUCGGACCUCACGCUAUCAGAUGAGCCUAGGUCGGAUUAGCUAGUUGGUGGGGUAAAGGCCUACCAAGGCGACGAUCCGUAACUGGUCUGAGAGGAUGAUCAGUCACACUGGAACUGAGACACGGUCCAGACUCCUACGGGAGGCAGCAGUGGGGAAUAUUGGACAAUGGGCGAAAGCCUGAUCCAGCCAUGCCGCGUGUGUGAAGAAGGUCUUCGGAUCGUAAAGCACUUUAAGUUAGGAGGAAGGGCAGUAAGUUAAUACCUUGCUGUUUUGACGUUACCAACAGAAUAAGCACCGGCUAACUUCGUG